rnacentral:misc_RNA from 1 species
AACGCACCUUGCACCUUUUGGUAUUCCGAAAGGUACACCCGUUUGAGUGUCAUUGUAAUCUCACUCCUUCAACUUUUGUUGCUGGAUGUGGACUUGGACUCUGUCGUGUUACAACGACUGGUCUGAAAUGCCUGAGUGCACCCUGCUGUUGCAGCGUCUUCAGUGUGAUAAGCAUCUUCACUGAUUCAAGUUCCUUCGGGACACGUAGCAUUGUGGGCUCUGUGCUGACGAACCGUCUUUGGACAAUCUUUGACAAUUUGACCUCAAAUCGGGUGGGACUACCCGCUGAACUUAA